rnacentral:rRNA from 1 species
AACGUAGGAGACAAACGUUAUCCGGAGUUACUGGGCGUAAAGGGCGUGUAGGCGGUUUGUUAAGUCUGGCGUGAAAGCUCUCGGCUAAACCGGGAGAGGUCGUUGGAUACUGGCAAACUAGAGGACGGUAGAGGCGUGUGGAAUUCCGGGUGUAGUGGUGAAAUGCGUAGAGAUCCGGAGGAACACCAGUGGCGAAGGCGGUCUGCUGGGCCGUAGCUGACGCUGAGGCGCGACAGCGUGGGGAGCAAACAGG